rnacentral:rRNA from 1 species
UACGGGGGGAGCAAACGUUGUUCGGAAUCACUGGGCGUAAAGAGCUUGUAGGCGGUUUGUCGCGUCUGCUGUGAAAAUCCGGGGCUCAACCCCGGACUUGCAGUGGGUACGGGCAGACUAGAGUGUGGUAGGGGAGACUGGAAUUCCUGGUGUAGCGGUGAAAUGCGCAGAUAUCAGGAGGAACACCGAUGGCGAAGGCAGGUCUCUGGGCCACUACUGACGCUGAGAAGCGAAAGCAUGGGGAGCGAACAGG